AGAGUAGGCGAGGGAGUUGCAAGCGAGCGAUCGCUUGAGGAAAGUCCGGGCUUCCGAAGAACCACACCUGCUGGGUAACGCCCAGUGCGUGCGAGCGUGAGGAUAGUGCCACAGAAACAUACCGCCGAUGGAGCUACGGCUCACAGGUAAGGGUGCAAGGGUGCGGUAAGAGCGCACCAGCAGCAUCGAGA
rnacentral:RNase_P_RNA from 1 species